AAAAUUAUGGGCUUUUUCUGUCAAAUCAGUCUAUAAUCUUUUUUUUAUGGAUCAGGUCUAUAAUAUUGAUAUCACAUUGGGUUUUUUUUGGAAAUGGCUUGUUCCAAUUGAAAUUCAAGCUUUCUUUUGUGUUGCAUGUCAAGGGAAAUGUUUAAUGGUGGAGAACCUGCAAAAGAGGGGUAAAAUUAUUUGUAACAUAUGUUUGAUGCGUAAAAAUGAUUAAGAAUCUGAUACUCAUCUUUUCCUUCAUUGUCUUUUUGCUUCUAGCGUAUGGUACUGGGAUUUCUCUUUAUUGGGUUUUUUCCCUCACGAUACCUUUGAACCUCAUUAGCAUUAUUAACUAUCUUACUGCCAUUGAAUUGCCAAAAACAGGAAUUGUGAUUUGGAAAAUUAUCAGAAGUGCUAUCUUAUGGCAUAUUUGGUCAAAGCGUAAUAGGAGAACAUUUGAUGGGAUGUCACAUAGUAUUGAAGUGGUAAAAGAUCGUAUCUUACAAUCUCUAUAGAAUUGGUUCACCUCCAUGCCUGAAGGACGGGGUGCUCUGUGGAGUGACAUUUAUGUCAAUCUGAAAUAUUUAGCUACUUCUUUUACUUUCUCUAGUUGUCCCCAUAGAACUUGGAUGACACCUCUUAAUGACUCAAACUUAAUUUUGUUGGUAGUUCCUUUGGAAAUCU
rnacentral:lncRNA from 1 species